UACGUAGGGUGCAAGCGUUAAUCGGAAUUACUGGGCGUAAAGCGUGCGCAGGCGGCUUUGCAAGACAGAUGUGAAAUCCCCGGGCUCAACCUGGGAACCGCAUUUGUGACUGCAGGCUAGAGUACGGUAGAGGGGGAUGGGAAUUCCGCGUGUAGCAGUGAAAUGCGUAGAUAUGCGGAGGAACACCGAUGGCGAAGGCAAUCCCCUGGACCUGUACUGACGCUCAUGCACGAAAGCGUGGGGAGCAACAGG
rnacentral:rRNA from 1 species